UACGUAGGGUGCGAGCGUUAAUCGGAAUUACUGGGCGUAAAGCGUGCGCAGGCGGCUAUUUAAGCUUGCUGUGAAAGCCCCGGGCUUAACCUGGGAAUUGCAGUGAGGACUGGAUGGCUGGAGUGUGGCAGAGGGGGGUGGAAUUCCACGUGUAGCAGUGAAAUGCGUAGAGAUGUGGAGGAACACCGAUGGCGAAGGCAGCCCCCUGGGCUAACACUGACGCUCAGGCACGAAAGCGUGGGGAGCAAACAGG
rnacentral:rRNA from 1 species